UACGUAGGGUCCGAGCGUUGUCCGGAAUUAUUGGGCGUAAAGAGCUCGUAGGCGGUUUGUCGCGUCUGCUGUGAAAUCCCGAGGCUCAACCUCGGGCCUGCAGUGGGUACGGGCAGACUGGAGUGCGGUAGGGGAGAAUGGAAUUCCUGGUGUAGCGGUGGAAUGCGCAGAUAUCAGGAGGAACACCGGUGGCGAAGGCGGGUCUCUGGGCAGUAACUGACGCUGAGGAGCGAAAGCGUGGGGAGCAAACAGG
rnacentral:rRNA from 1 species